GAUGAACGCUGGCGGCAUGCUUAACACAUGCAAGUCAACCGGAAGAUGGGAGCUUGACUCAGGUUUGGGUGGCGGACGGGUGAGUAACGCGUAAGGAACUGGCCUCUCAGCUAGGGAAAAGACUGGGAAACGAAUGCUAAAACCUAAAAGUAUUAUAAUAGAGCAUCCUAGAUUUAUGAAAGCUAUAAGCGCUGUGAGAGGGCGUUGCGUUUCAUUAGCUAGUUGGAGAGGUAACGGCUCACCAAUGCGAUGAUGGGUAGCCGGACUGGGAGGGUGACCGGCCCCAAGGGGCCUGGGGCGCGGCCCUUACGCCUACUUGAGGCAGCAGUGGGGACUAUUGGACGCUGGGCCGCGAGUCUGAUCCAGCACUUCUGUGUGCACGAUGAAGUUUUUCGGAAUGUAAAGUGCUUUCAGUUGAGAUGAAACUAUUGACGGUACCAACAGAAGAAGUGACGGCUAACUACGUG
rnacentral:rRNA from 1 species